ACGCUACACGUUGGUCACUGUACUACACGCUACACGGUACCGUGCGUUGAAACGCGAUGAAAAUGAGGAAAGAGAUGGCCGGCGUAAAUCCCCGGAAACCCACCAAUAUCUUGUUAAAAAAUGUAAAUAACUCGACUCGACUGAACACUUUCCUUACAAAAAGCCUUCGAUUCGUGUAAUGUUGGCGGUGCUAGUCUACUCGUUUGCCUCGAAUAUUCUUGUUCAUUAAAUCGGAAUGAUGGAAUCGUACAAAUGCUGUUGAUGAAUAUUAAUGACUGCCAUCUGGAGUUAAGAAUAUUUGGAUGAUGUCAGGAACAAGGAUAACGGUAUGAUGUAUAAAUUAUAUAAUAUAAUACAUGCUAGAUUUAUUUUAGGAACAGAUGACAUCGAAAUAUAUUCGCUAAAACACGGGUUCACAUCGGACGAGGUGGCCGAGUGGUUAAGGCGUUGGACUGCUAAUCCAAUGUGCUCUGCACGCGUGGGUUCGAAUCCCAUCCUCGUCGAUUCGCUUUUUGUUACUUUGCAAAACAUUCUAGUUCAUAAGGUAUGUACAAUUGGAGAAAGUUGCUAAAAAAA